rnacentral:rRNA from 1 species
AGAGUUUGAUCAUGGCUCAGGAUGAACGCUAGCGGCAGGCUUAACACAUGCAAGUCGAGGGGCAGCAUACCCAGCAAUGGGUGAUGGCGACCGGCGGAAGGGUGCGUAACGCGUGAGCAACAUACCCUAUACAGGGGGAUAAGCCAGGGAAACUUGGUCUAAUAUCCCAUAGGAAAUAGAUAAGGCAUCUUGUUUAUUUUAAAGCUUCGGUGGUAUAGGAUUGGCUCGCGUGACAUUAGCUAGAUGGAGGGGUAACGGCCCACCAUGGCAAUGAUGUCUAGGGGUUCUGAGAGGAAGAUCCCCCACACUGGGACUGAGACACGGCCCAGACUCCUACGGGAGGCAGCAGUGAGGAAUAUUGGACAAUGGAUGGAAAUCUGAUCCAGCCAUGCCGCGUGCAGGAAGACGGCCCUAUGGGUUGUAAACUGCUUUUAUACGGGAGCAAUAAGGUCUAUGCAUAGAUUGAUGAGAGUACCGUAUGAAUAAGCAUCGGCUAACUCCGUGCCAGCAGCCGCGGUAAUACGGAGGAUGCGAGCGUUAUCCGGAUUUAUUGGGUUUAAAGGGUGCGUAGGCGGCUUUGUAAGUCAGCGGUGAAAUUUUGCAGCUUAACUGUAAAAGUGCCGUUGAUACUGUGAAGCUAGGAUUUGGUUGCUGUGGGCGGAAUGUGUGGUGUAGCGGUGAAAUGCAUAGAGAUCACACAGAAUAUCGAUUGCGAAGGCAGCUCACAAAGCCAAUAUUGACGCUGAGGCACGAAAGUGUGGGGAUCAAACAGGAUUAGAUACCCUGGUAGUCCACACUGUAAACGAUGAUAACUCGCUGUCGGCGAUAGACCGUCGGUGGCCA